rnacentral:lncRNA from 1 species
GGGUUUCAUAUUUAUGUUUUUGGCACGUCAAGCAAUUCUGCACAAAUAUCCGGACAUCCUUCUUCAUGUGAGGCCAAUAAUGAUAAGCUGCAAGCCUGCAAUUUUCUUUAAGGUUUUGAGAAAACCACCAUGUUCUGCUAAUGGUGUGGAAUGUGCUUCAUGGAGUAUUACUUCACGAAUAGUUGGGUUAUAGGGGAUGACCAUCCGUCCUUUGUAAAGGAGAGUUUGACCGACCAACAAGUAAUCUUACUCUUUUGUGGAUCAAACUCCUCAUCGAUCUCUGUAACAUCCAGGCAAAUAAGGCAUGGCAAAAGUGAGUAACUCAGCAGAAUGAGGUCUUCUUGAUAAUGCGUCGGCACCUCGAUUCUCUUUACUGGGCACGGUGGAUCAUAGAAAAGUCAUAGGGAUCAGUUUUAACAGCAGGGCUGUGGUUCAGUGGUUGUGAUUCUCUGUUCCAGCAAGAAUUUAAGAGUUUUGUGGUCAGUCUUUAUAAAAAAAAUGUUGACCCGGUAGAUGGUGAUUCCACGUUUGAUUUGCUAAAACGAGUGCCAUAUGCGGAUUUAAACUGGUUGGAAGGUGAGAACCUCUUGCUAAAGUAAGCAACUGGAUGAUCCUCCUGAAUCAGAAAAACGCCUAGACCUCCUGAUCGACAUGUACCCCUUCUACAGUGAUCAUGCCCCAAAAGUAGAACUUUAGCUUGACCGAAGCAGCAUUUUGGAUAAUUUGGCAAAGAUGUUUGGAUAGUAACUCCAAAGCUGUUUGCAAGUGAGUAACAUGUUGCUCCAUAUCUGAGCUAUUAAUCAAAAUGUCAUCCAAAAACACCGGCACAAAGACGCAAAUACGGUCGAAAAAGAUCAUUCAUAGCUGUCUGAAAAGUGGAGGAGGCAUAUUAGUAAGACCAAAUAAAGGGCAAUACCGUAAACUCGUAGCGUCCAGAUCCAGAAUGAGUCCUGAAAGCAGUCUUCUCAAUAUCGAAAGGGUUUACACGGAUUUGAUAGUACCCCACACGUAGAUCUAACUUAGUAAAUACCGUGGCUCCAUAUAAAUCAUCCAGCAACCAUAAGCUUAUUUAGAGCACGAUAAGCAAUGCAACGUGUUAUCUUUUUUCUUAACUAUAAGUACUGGGCUAGAAAAGGGGCUGGUGAUUGGCUGAAUGAACCCAGCCCAUAGCAAUAUUUCCACUUGCCUCUUGAUUUCAGUUUUUUGGAACGGGCAUCUAUGUGGUCUGAUGUUGGGUGGUACAGAAUUGGCUAAAGAGGAAUAACAUGAAAAUGAGAAAAAAAUGAAGAAGUUUGGUUGGUUGUUCUUGAAAUACUUGGUCAAACUUUUGGAUAAGAGGCUGCAAGGCAAUUGCUAUUUCUUGUUUCUGUUCUGUCUCAAUGCUAAGGUGCUGAAAAGCAGCUGAUUUUUGAGGGCCAGAAGCCACCCCUAGUAAAUUUGUAUUUUUUACCAUCCACAGUGAAGAUACUAAACAAGUCCUUCCAAUUAGCUUGGACGGUGUUUAAUGUAGCUAACCAUUGGAUACCCAGGACCAAAUCAGGGGGACAAUCUCAAGAUCGAAUAUUUAUAACGAGAGUUUUCCUUUGCGUGCACAUUUACAGUUUUGCUGCCUUUCAACUUUCAACCCUCAAGAUGGAUGUUUAUAUCGGAUGGUCCUGAUGAUCAUUUUGCUGGUCAACCAAACCGCCUUCCCAUUUAUGGACCUCGUUUAUGUCGGCUGCAACCACAAACCAUCCUAAAAAUUGGAUGAAUGAAAGAUAUUCUGUAACAAUGUAUAUAUUAAAUACUUAUAUAUGUAAUAAAUUGCUUCUGAUAAUACAACGUUAAACAUGAACCGGGUUAAAAAUGUAUGCGUUGAUUAUUAU